GCCGGUGAGAAUCCGGCGCGGUCGCGCCACUGUGAGCGGUUCCGUCGUCGACGGAUCCGCGAGCCAGGA
rnacentral:ncRNA from 1 species